rnacentral:lncRNA from 1 species
GGAUGUGAAGGUGAGAAUGUUCGGGCGUUGACUGCUGAUCCAGCACGUGCAGAGUCCUCUGCGUUUCAGUGUUCCUUGCUGCGUAGCAUCUAACAAAGGCGUCUUCUGCAUCUCUGAGUAGAGAGAACACUACCCUGCCCGGGUGAAGUUCCUUUCUCAUGUCUGGAAUAUCUACAGUUCUGGAACCGCAGGCAUGGUGAAACCCGUUGACACCUAAAGCCACAAGGCCUGCAGGUGAUUUGUUGGUUAACAAGAGAGAAACCAAGACACUCAUACAGGGGAAAUCCAGCGCACAUCUGUGCGCGGAACAAUUCUUUCUGACUAAAGUUCUCCAAAGUCUGGCUAGCUUGGCCUCACUGGGAAUGGGGAACAUAGUCCCAUGCGCUCCCAUGUCCUGAAGAAAUCUUCCACUUGGACCUGAAGAUCUUUUAUUCAGUCCACAACAGUGGUUAUCAACCUUCCUGAUGCUGCAAGUCUUUAAUACAUUUCCUUGUGUUAUGGUGACACCCUCCCCCAAUAAAAUAAUUUCAUUGCCA